AUUGAACGCUGGCGGCAUGCUUUACACAUGCAAGUCGAACGGUAACAGGCCGCAAGGUGCUGACGAGUGGCGAACGGGUGAGUAAUGCAUCGGAACGUGCCCAGUCGUGGGGGAUAACUGCUCGAAAGAGCAGCUAAUACCGCAUACGAUCUAUGGAUGAAAGCGGGGGACCGUAAGGCCUCGCGCGAUUGGAGCGGCCGGUGUCAGAUUAGGUAGGUGGUGGGGUAAAGGCCCACCAAGCCAACGAUCUGUAUCUGGUCUGAGAGGACGACCAGCCACACUGGGACUGAGACACGGCCCAGACUCCUACGGGAGGCAGCAGUGGGGAAUUUUGGACAAUGGGGGCAACCCUGAUCCAGCAAUGCCGCGUGCAGGAAGAAGGCCUUCGGGUUGUAAACUGCUUUUGUACGGAACGAAACGGUCUGGGUUAAUACCCUGGGCUAAUGACGGUACCGUAAGAAUAAGCACCGGCUAGCUACGUGCCAGCAGCCGCGGUAACAC
rnacentral:rRNA from 1 species